AAAUUGAAGAGUUUGAUCAUGGCUCAGAUUGAACGCUGGCGGCAGGCCUAACACAUGCAAGUCGAACGGUAACAGGAAGCAGCUUGCUGCUUUGCUGACGAGUGGCGGACGGGUGAGUAAUGUCUGGGAAACUGCCUGAUGGAGGGGGGAUAACUACUGGAAACGGUAGCUAAUACCGCAUAACGUCGCAAGACCAAAGAGGGGGACCUUCGGGCCUCUUGCCAUCGGAUGUGCCCAGAUGGGAUUAGCUAGUAGGUGGGGUAACGGCUCACCUAGGCGACGAUCCCUAGCUGGUCUGAGAGGAUGACCAGCCACACUGGAACUGAGACACGGUCCAGACUCCUACGGGAGGCAGCAGUGGGGAAUAUUGCACAAUGGGCGCAAGCCUGAUGCAGCCAUGCCGCGUGUAUGAAGAAGGCCUUCGGGUUGUAAAGUACUUUCAGCGGGGAGGAAGGUGUUGAGGUUAAUAACCUCAGCAAUUGACGUUACCCGCAGAAGAAGCACCGGCUAACUCCGUGCCAGCAGCCGCGGUAAUACGGAGGGUGCAAGCGUUAAUCGGAAUUACUGGGCGUAAAGCGCACGCAGGCGGUCUGUCAAGUCGGAUGUGAAAUCCCCGGGCUCAACCUCGGGAACUGCAUUCGAAACUGGCAGGCUAGAGUCUUGUAGAGGGGGGUAGAAUUCCGGUGUAGCGGUGAAAUGCGUAGAGAUCUGGAGGAAUACCGGUGGCGAAGGCGGCCCCCUGGACAAAGACUGACGCUCAGGUGCGAAAGCGUGGGGAGCAAACAGGAUUAGAUACCCUCGGUAGUCCACGCCGUAAACGAUGUCGACUUGGAGGUUGUGCCCUUGAGGCGUGGCUUCCGGAGCUAACGCGUUAAGUCGACCGCCCGGGGAGUACGGCCGCAAGGUUAAAACUCAAAUGAAUUGACGGGGGCCCGCACAAGCGGUGGAGCAUGUGGUUUAAUUCGAUGCAACGCGAAGAACCUUACCUACUCUUGACAUCCAGAGAACUUAGCAGAGAUGCUUUGGUGCCUUCGGGAACUCUGAGACAGGUGCUGCAUGGCUGUCGUCAGCUCGUGUUGUGAAAUGUUGGGUUAAGUCCCGCAACGAGCGCAACCCUUAUCCUUUGUUGCCAGCGGUUAGGCCGGGAACUCAAAGGAGACUGCCAGUGAUAAACUGGAGGAAGGUGGGGAUGACGUCAAGUCAUCAUGGCCCUUACGAGUAGGGCUACACACGUGCUACAAUGGCGCAUACAAAGAGAAGCGACCUCGCGAGAGCAAGCGGACCUCAUAAAGUGCGUCGUAGUCCGGAUUGGAGUCUGCAACUCGACUCCAUGAAGUCGGAAUCGCUAGUAAUCGUGGAUCAGAAUGCCACGGUGAAUACGUUCCCGGGCCUUGUACACACCGCCCGUCACACCAUGGGAGUGGGUUGCAAAAGAAGUAGGUAGCUUAACCUUCGGGAGGGCGCUUACCACUUUGUGAUUCAUGACUGGGGUGAAGUCGUAACAAGGUAACCGUAGGGGAACCUGCGGUUGGAUCACCUCCUUA
rnacentral:rRNA from 1 species